rnacentral:lncRNA from 1 species
UAAAAGACACUGUUCAGGACAGGUACGUAUCUAUGCUGAGAGGAUCUCAGUGGAACCAUGAUCCUGUGGAACAAUCGGUGAUAAGAGGCUGAGCCCUGUGUCCUAUAAAGACCCUGAGAGCCAGAGCCACAGAAUGUACAUUUGUUCCUGCUGUGUGAUUGUCCAUCUGUCUGUGCCUGGACAACCACUCCAUCCCCACUGGAUGCAGUAAACAGCACCACUGCCCACUGGCAUUGUGAACCUGGUGUCCAUCACUGAGCUCUGCUGGGGAUAGUCUAUGUGGCAGCUGCUGUAGCUCUUGCUCAGAGUGCUGGUGCAACCGUGUGGCUCCCGUGAUGGGAAUUCAUUGUAUUUUUCUGGCUGAAGAGUAUUCCAGUGUCUACGCAUGGGACAGUUUCCUUAUCCCUUCAUCUGCAGAUGGACAGGAUCCCAGAGUAUUGCAGAAGCCCAAGUGGCCAGACCUAGAGCAAGAGCCCAAAAUCAGAACCCUGCAAGCUGGAGACCAGCAGGCAUUACCAUCUGGGGCUCCCGUAGGAGCUGGCGGUGCCAGGCCACGCUGUCCACUCGACUCUGCUGCUUGUUCCAGUGCAUGAGGAGGUGACCUUAACUUCCAGACAAUGUGGCCAGAUGAGGGAACACAGACUGCAUGGAGGACCUUGGAAGAGUUUGCGGGGCACAGCCCUGCUGGCACAAAGCCUGACACAGAAGGACACAGACACCCCUGCACGGUGAACAGUGACUGAUACUUGUCAUUUACAAGCCUCUUCUUCAGCUCAUCCCCAUGUUGAAAGCAAGAGCUGCUGAGGGCAGUGGAUGUAGGAGUCUCUUCUGGGAGCUGAACCUUUGCAGGAGGCUGGACUAGCAGGGAGAGAUGCAGAGAACUGUGGGCACAGGACAGGGUCCACCGAUUGCGAAAGCAAGAAUGGAAUGAGAAGUAUGAGCAAUGGAUCGAUAUACUAGUCGAACUGAAAUAAGAUAUUGUCAGAACUAUUUGUCCAAGGAAAAUCAGAUGUUCACAACAGAAGUUACAUUCUGAGCUAGAUUUAUCAGAGCCUCCAGCCAGGAUCACUGCACCAGGCCUAGAGAGCAGAGGGAAGAUUUGUGUCUCACUUUCCCAUGGGCCUGGAGCCCUGUGUAAGCCUCAGAGCCACUGUGAAAUCCACUGCCCCUGUGCAGACCCCGAGACAGACCCAUUCUCAGGCUGCAGCACAGCAACGUGCAAAAUCCUUGCACAGGCCGACGCAUCUUUAGAUCCCAAGAUGUGGCUGGGAGCCUCAGAGCCCUGUUUCUUACUUGAGUCCAAGUAGAAGUUCACGAGAUAUUAGAUAGGGUUCCCUGGAUUCUGCCAGAACCAGUCACCGAUUUCUUCUGAUGGAAUCACUGAUUCAUUGUGGUGAUUAUCCAAGGGUGUAUAAAUAUCUUAAAACACACAAAAUUGGGCACUUUAAAUAUCAGGGGUUUAUUUUGUUAAUUAUUCCUCAAUAAAAAGACACAUAAAAAAUAGGCUGAAACAGACCCGGCAUGGUGGCUCACGCCUGUAAUCCCAGCACUUUGGGAGGCCGAGGUGGGCGGAUCACUUAAGGUCAGGAGAUCGAGACAAUCCUGUGAAUGGUGAAACCCCAUCCCUACUAAAAAUACAAAAAAUUAGCCGGGCAUGGUGGCGGGCGCCUGUAGUCCCAG